AUAUAUGUAUAUAUAUAAGAUGGUAGGCGGGAAGAGGAAUCGACGCAAUAUCGACUGAAGGUUGCGCAAUCGAGAUGGCUCUUCCCGGCACGGAUACCUCCUCCUCGCGUAC
ensembl:ncRNA Y65B4BL.11 ncRNA